rnacentral:snRNA from 1 species
GUGCUCACUUCAGCAGCACAUGUACUAAAAUUGGAGUGAAACAGAGAAGAUUAGCAUGGCCCCUACGCAACAAUGACAUGCACAUUUGUGACGUAUUCUACUUUUUU